CCGGAUGUAGUGGAAAAUGAGCAAGGGUCUUCGCAUUUGACUCGACGAGUGCGAAGGGUAAGGAAGCUAGCUAAGCCUAGGAGGAUUCGCUUAGGUAGCUGGAACGUAGGGUCUCUGACAGGGAAGCUUCGGGAGCUAGUUGAUGCAGCGGUGAGGAGAGGUGUUGAUAUCCUUUGCGUCCAAGAAACCAAAUGGAGAGGACAGAAGGCGAAGGAGGUGGAGGAUACCGGCUUCAAGCUGUGGUACACGGGGACGGCUGCAAACAGAAAUGGCGUAGGCAUCUUGAUCAACAAGAGCCUCAAGUAUGGAGUGGUGGACGUCAAGAGACGUGGGGACCGGAUUAUCCUGGUCAAGCUGGUAGUUGAGGACUUGGUUCUCAAUGUUAUCAACGCGUAUGCCCCGCAAGUAGGCCACAAU
rnacentral:rRNA from 1 species